UGCCCAGAACUUCCGGUUCUGCUCAAGUUUUGGGCGCUGGACUUUAGCGAUGCGGUCCCGACUUCUUUGGGGCGCUGCUCGGUGUCUCUGGGCCCUCGGAGCUACUGGUCCGGCCCGCCGGCCCCUAAGCUGCGAUACCCCGCCGCUGGAGGAGCUCUUCGCCCGGGACGGGUCCUUGCGGACUUUCCUCGAGCGCCAGGCGGGGUCUGGAGCCCUGGUCAGCAGGCCCCAGUUGGCGUCGGCGGCCAAGCUGCUGAGUGAGAAGGAGGGGGAGCUGCGGGAGAUCGAGCACUUGCUGCGCGAUGAGAAUGAAGACUUACAGAAACUUGCAGAGAAUGAAAUAGCUUUGUGUCAAAAAGAAAUAACUCAGUUGAAGCAACAGAUUAUCUUACUUUUGGUUCCCUCAGAAGAAACAGAUGAAAAUGAUUUGAUCCUGGAGGUAACUGCUGGAGUUGGGGGUCAGGAGGCAAUGUUGUUUACUUCAGAGAUAUUUGAUAUGUAUCAACAAUAUGCGGCAUUUAAAAGAUGGCAUUUUGAAACCCUAGAAUAUUUUCCAAGUGAAAUAGGUGGCCUUAGACAUGCAACUGCCAGCAUUGGAGGUUCAGAAGCCUAUAAGCACAUGAAAUUUGAAGGAGGUGUGCACAGAGUGCAAAGAGUGCCAAAGACAGAGAAGCAAGGCCGCAUCCAUACCAGCACCAUGACUGUAGCAAUAUUACCCCAGCCUACUGAGAUUAAUCUGGUGAUUAAUCCUAAAGACUUGAGAACUGACACCAAGCGAGCCAGCGGGGCUGGAGGGCAGCAUGUAAAUACUACAGACAGUGCUGUCCGUAUAGUUCAUCUUCCAACAGGUGUUGUUUCUGAAUGCCAACAAGAGAGAUCUCAACUGAAAAAUAGAGAGAUGGCUAUGAAAAAGUUACGUGCAAAACUGUACAGCAUGCAUCUGGAAGAAGAAACAAGUAAAAGAUACAAUGCUAGAAAGAUUCAGAUUGGAACUAAAGGAAGGUCAGAGAAAAUAAGAACUUACAAUUUUCCACAGAACCGGGUCACAGAUCACAGAAUAAACAAGUCGCUGCAUGAUCUUGAAACUUUUAUGCAAGGAGAUUAUCUACUGGAUGAACUUGUACAGUCAUUGAAGGACUAUGCUGAUUAUGAGUCUUUAGUAGAAAUUAUUUCUCAAAAAGUUUGAGUUGGUCACUUAUUAAAGACUUCAUAGCUUAGAAAAACUCUACAGGAAAUCACGUUGUGUGUAAAAAUACCAGUAUUCUCUUGAAAAAUAUUACAGUUGGAAAUAAUAUGCAUAUUCUUAAGACAAAGAUGAUUUAUAUAAAUCACUCAAUUUAUUAGUAAAAAACAUACAAUUUACAUAUGCUUCUCAAUUUACAAUAGGGUUAUUUCCAGAUAAACACAUUGUAAGUCAAAAAUAUUGCAAGUCUAUCAUAAUAUUAUGAGAAAGGGAUUGGCAGUAGUGGGAAACUGCCAGGGGAGGAGGGGGCACAGCUCAUCAACA